rnacentral:rRNA from 1 species
UACGGAGAUCAGCGGCGGACGGGUGAGUAACACGUGGGCAACCUGCCUGUAAGACUGGGAUAACUCCGGGAAACCGGGGCUAAUACCGGAAAACCCUUCGGACCUCAUGGUCCGGAGCUGAAAGACGGUUAUGCUGUCACUUACAGAUGGGCCCGCGGCGCAUUAGCUAGUUGGUGAGGUAACGGCUCACCAAGGCGACGAUGCGUAGCCGACCUGAGAGGGUGAUCGGCCACACUGGGACUGAGACACGGCCCAGACUCCUACGGGAGGCAGCAGUAGGGAAUCUUCCGCAAUGGACGAAAGUCUGACGGAGCAACGCCGCGUGAGUGAAGAAGGUUUUCGGAUCGUAAAACUCUGUUGUUAGGGAAGAACAAGUACGAGAGUAACUGCUCGUACCUUGACGGUACCUAACCAGAAAGCCACGGCUAACUACGUGCCAGCAGCCGCGGUAAUACGUAGGUGGCAAGCGUUGUCCGGAAUUAUUGGGCGUAAAGCGCGCGCAGGCGGUCUUUUAAGUCUGAUGUGAAAGCCCCCGGCUCAACCGGGGAGGGUCAUUGGAAACUGGAGGACUUGAGUGCAGAAGAGGAGAGCGGAAUUCCACGUGUAGCGGUGAAAUGCGUAGAGAUGUGGAGGAACACCAGUGGCGAAGGCGGCUCUCUGGUCUGUAACUGACGCUGAGGCGCGAAAGCGUGGGGAGCGAACAGGAUUAGAUACCCUGGUAGUCCACGCCGUAA